rnacentral:rRNA from 1 species
UACGGGGGGGCAAGCGUUGUUCGGAAUUACUGGGCGUAAAGGCUCGUAGGCGGCCAACUAAGUCGGAUGUGAAAUCCCCAGGCUCAACCUGGGAACUGCAUCCGAUACUGGAUGGCUUGAAUCCGGGAGAGGGAUGCAGAAUUCCAGGUGUAGCGGUGAAAUGCGUAGAUAUCUGGAGGAAUACCGGUGGCGAAGGCGGCAUCCUGGACCGGCAUUGACGCUGAGGAGCGAAAGCUAGGGGAGCAAACGGGG